CCUCAGGGGUAGCCUAGCAGGACCUCAGGUAUUGAAGGUAGCCUGAAAGACCCAGUGUAGCUAGGGUGGCCAAGCAGAACCUCAGGGGUAGCCUGACAGGACCUCAGGUAUUGAGAGUAGCCUAGCAGGACCUUGAGGGCAGCCUGAUGGACCUAGAAUUGUGAGGGUGGCCAAGCAGGACCUCAGGGGUAGCCUGACAGGACUUCAAGUAUUGAGGGUAUUGAGGGUAGCCUAGCAGGACCUUGAGGGCAGCCUGAUGGACCUGAAUUGAGUGGAUAGUCUACUAAUACCUCGUGAUAUUGAAGGUAGCAGGACAUUUAAAAUAUGAGUUCGUAAGACGAUGGAUACUAUGGUGCAGGUAUAAUUAUGAAAUGUGAGAUUCAAAAGAAGGUAAUUUAAAGGCUUGCUAAUAGAUUUACUUAUUUAAUGCUAGUCGUUCUAUUAUUUCCAUAUGAAUUGUGAUAAGACUGCUUAGCUGUAAAGUAAGAGGUUAGUAGGGUUAGGAUUAUUCUACUGAGUGAAUUAUUACUCACGGAUACGUUUGUAUUCUGGUAAAUCGAUUGCUUCGGCGAUCAAUUUGCCAGAGUAUGCAGGAUUCAAUGGUGGAGCAGUUUGACACAGGAAGAAUACUAGGGGCGGAGACCGAGUAUGCUUGGGAUCUGUAUCAAGACUAGAGUCGCUCUGAAGUUAUUUCAAUAAA